GAGCGGUCACUUCGGGGUAUAGCGGCGGACGGGUGAGUACACGUAGGCAACCUGCCUGCAAGACUGGGAUAACUAUCGGAAACGAUAGCUAAUACCGGAUAGCUGGUUCUCUCGCAUGAGAGGAUCAUGAAACACGGGGCAACCUGUGGCUUGCAGAUGGGCCUGCGGCGCAUUAGCUAGUUGGUGAGGUAACGGCUCACCAAGGCGACGAUGCGUAGCCGACCUGAGAGGGUGAACGGCCACACUGGGACUGAGACACGGCCCAGACUCCUACGGGAGGCAGCAGUAGGGAAUCUUCCGCAAUGGACGCAAGUCUGACGGAGCAACGCCGCGUGAGUGAUGAAGGUUUUCGGACCGUAAAGCUCUGUUGCCCUAUACGAACAGCAAGGAGAGUAACUGCUCUUCGUGUGACGGUAUAGGAGAAGAAAGCCCCGGCUAACUACGUGCCAGCAGCCGCGGUAAU
rnacentral:rRNA from 1 species